rnacentral:rRNA from 1 species
UAGGGAAUCUUCCGCAAUGGACGCAAGUCUGACGGAGCAACGCCGCGUGAGUGAAGAAGGAUUUCGGUUCGUAAAACUCUGUUGUUAGAGAAGAACAGCGCAUAGAGUAACUGUUAUGCGUGUGACGGUAUCUAACCAGAAAGCCACGGCUAACUACGUGCCAGCAGCCGCGGUAAUACGUAGGUGGCAAGCGUUGUCCGGAUUUAUUGGGCGUAAAGCGAGCGCAGGCGGUCAAUUAAGUCUGAUGUGAAAGCCCCCGUCUCAACCGGGGAGAGGAAUUGGAAAGUUGUUGACUUCAGUGAAGCAGAUGAGAGUGCAAUUCCAUGUGUAGCGGUGAAAUGCGUCGAUCUAUGGAGGAACACCAGUGGCUAAGGCGACUCUCUGGUCUGUAACUGACGCUGAGGCUCGAAAGCGUGGGUAGCAAACAGG